CGCUGACGAAGGUACCAAUGCCACCACAAUCGAUGUGAUCAUGGUCAGCUGGAGGAUCAGGUUGCGUCGACGUUGCGUGAAGACACCAUUCAGUCCAUCCUGUAUGCCCAUUAUACGUACAUAUACGUAUUAAUUGGCUUGUGCAACGGUGACGUGUUGACGCGAAUUUGGUCGUUGGUGGUGUAACAGCAGCAGCAGGAGCACCCAUCAAAGUCGGCGCACAUUUCCUCAUAACUUCCCGGCGCGCACAA